rnacentral:rRNA from 1 species
GUCCACGCUGUAAACGAUGGGCACUAGGUGUCGCGGGUAUUGACCCCUGCGGUGCCGCAGCUAACGCAUUAAGUGCCCCGCCUGGGGACUACGGCCGCAAGGUUAAAACUCAAAGGAAUUGACGGGGGCCCGCACAAGCGGUGGAGCAUGUGGUUCAAUUCGACGCAACGCGAAGAACCUUACCCGGGCUAGACAACGGAGGACAGCCCUAGAAAUAGGGUCUUCCCUUCGGGGACCUCCGGUUCAGGUGCUGCAUGGCUGUCGU